rnacentral:rRNA from 1 species
AUGUACGCCGUGAAGCGGGACGGGCGGACAGAGACGGUGCACUUCGACAAGAUCACGGUGCGGCUCAAGAAGCUCAGCUAUGGGCUCAGCCAGGAGCACUGCGACCCCGUGCUCGUCGCGCAGAAGCUCUGCGUAGAAGGUCUGCAUCAGGGUAUACAUGGGCGUCACCACCAGCCAGCUCGACGAGCUCGCCGUCGAGACCGCCGCCGCGCUCACCGCCUCCCAGCCUGA